rnacentral:rRNA from 1 species
CGCGAGCUGGGUUCAGAACGUCGUGAGACAGUUCGGUCCCUAUCCGUCGUGGGCGUAGGAAAUUUGAGAGGAGCUGUCCUUAGUACGAGAGGACCGGGAUGGACAUACCUCUGGUGUACCAGUUGUCGUGCCAACGGCAUAGCUGGGUAGCUAUGUGUGGACGGGAUAAGUGCUGAAAGCAUCUAAGCAUGAAGCCCCCCUCAAGAUGAGAUUUCCCAACUUCGGUUAUAAGAUCCCUCAAAGAUGAUGAGGUUAAUAGGUUCGAGGUGGAAGCAUGGUGACAUGUGGAGCUGACGAAUACUAAUCGAUCGAAGACUUAAUCAAAA